ACACAGAGAAGAGCAGGAGUGGAGGUGUGCGCAUAAACAUUUGCCUCGGAGAAAGAAGUGUUUCCACCAGGAUGCUCUCAAGGAGGAUUAAAUAGUGGAAUGAACCUUCCAGCUUGGUGGAUGUGCUGGAGUGAAUCAGAAAGGGCGAGUUUCCUGAAGGCCUGGGAAAAGUUUCCUGAAGGCACAGUGGAAAGCUGUGCCACUGCAUGCGUGCCCCUCUCUGUCGGUCGGCACGAGGUCCCUGCAGGUGCCUGCUCUCUGUGCACCUGGGAACAGCAACUGCAAACCCGAGUGGGUGCCUGCCAUCACCCAACAUCCCUCCCAUGUGAAGUAAUGCCCUCCUCAUCCCGCAAAGAAUUUCAUCCGAAGCCUGGAUUCUCCACCAGCCUCAUUAGCCCUUGGAGCAGAUUCUACUGGCUUUGA
rnacentral:lncRNA from 1 species